rnacentral:rRNA from 1 species
CUUGACACUGAACAUUGAGCCUUGAUGUGUAGGAUAGGUGGGAGGCUUGGAAGUGUGGACGCCAGUCUGCAUGGAGCCGACCUUGAAAUACCACCCUUUAAUGUUUGAUGUUCUAACGUGGACCCGUAAUCCGGGUUGCGGACAGUGUCUGGUGGGUAGUUUGACUGGGGCGGUCUCCUCCUAAAGAGUAACGGAGGAGCACGAAGGUUGGCUAAUCCUGGUCGGACAUCAGGAGGUUAGUGCAAUGGCAUAAGC